GCCUGCGCAUGCCUGUUCCCGCUCCCUGGUGCCCCGGGCGCCUGCCUGUCCCGGCUCCCAUGGGUGCUGGGUGUGUGGAAGCUCCGGCCCCCUCGGGCUGGGUUCAUUGGGGUCCUCCUGUGUGGUCAGUGGACUCUGUACCCCCACAGCACCUGAGGGGUGGCUGACACUGCUUUCCCAGCUGCUGCAGGGGCUCAGGGAACACAGGUGACCCCACGUCUCUACCGAGAAUGAGCACACCAACACCUCUCAGAAGACAGCUGCAGCCUGCAGAGGCCAUGGACCCCACCCAGGCCCACGGUGUGGACGGCUCUGCCCUGGUCUCUGCUGAGCCAGGCCCAGAGGGGACCCCAGAUGUGUGUAGAGCAGCAACCACGCCGGGCUGGGACCCCGCGGCCGAGGCGUCUGCUGGAAGGAGUCUCUGAGGUCACCAACCACGCCGGGCUGGGGCCCUGCGACCGAGGCAUCUGCGGGAAGGAGUCUCUGAGGUCACUCCUGCCCACAGGUGCACGUCUGUGCACCCGCCCACUCCUGCAUACACACGAACACACCUGUGCAUGUAUACACCGCACCCCACACACCCCUGCACACUCGUGAGGGCAUGCUCUCACACACAAACAUGCACUCGCAAUAGGCCUCCAGGGCUGGGGCCGGCCGUGGAGCUGGACCGAGGGAGGGAGCUUGCUGGGGUGGCCCAGGUAUAGCCCCUGGCCCGGCCUCAGCCCACCCGGCAGACUCUCAGCUGAAGGAGGACGCGGGUUGCCGUCGGGAUGCCGUGUGCAACAUCCCAACUCCACAGAUCAGAAGAUGGAGGCAGAGCCGAUUGGAGGAGGAGGGUCGGGAGGCCUCAGGAAUUGCUAAAGGGCCAGCCAUGGUUCUCAGUUCUUCCCAGCAACCAGUCCAGAGACCAGGCCAAUGGCAGGGCCCCUUUGCGGGCUUGGCUGAUUUGAUGGUACAAAAGCACGAGCGUCCGUGCAGACUGAAGUGACCACCAGGGGGUGCUAUUGGCACACAGCAAGUUGGCGCCCAAAUCCAGAGCCUAGAAAUUGAUCCUGCUGCCUCCGGGCUGCUCUGCCGCACCCACAGGUGCCCAGGGAUGCCAGGCGCCUGCCCCAAGCCAUGUGGGGGUGGCACAGGUGCACCCGGAAGCCCCCAGUUUCCAUAAUCUUCCCUCCCUGCCAGGAGGCGUGUGGGUUCGCCAAGUCCUGCUUCCAGUGCCUGCUUCUCCAGUCUCAGAUCUCAGCGAGCACACCAGGGGUAUGGGAGGCCUCACACCCAGGGGCUGUUGCAGCCACGCCGCUUCCUGUGUGUGGGCGCUGUGCAUGGCAGGGUGGACACGACACCACCUCCCAGUUGUCAUGGGCAGAGCCCCUUUCCUUGGACAGAACCCCUGGUGCCCACCCCUAGGAGGUAGGAUCCAGACCAGUGGGCAGAGGAGGGGGAGGCCAUGCUCCUUUGGGGCCAUUUGUGUGCCUGGCGGUGGCCCCCAUUGUGUCCCCAAGUGGGGUUUAUGGUGUUGCCGAGGGCUGUGGGGGGCACGCCCAGUAUCUGGAGCUUCUGGGUUGAUUUGAGGGUUGUUCUGUGUGUCCAGGCCAUGUGGGUUGGGCCACGGCCUGUGGCUAGGGUCUUUAUGGAGCAGGAUUGAGCCACAUGUGGACAGGGUCCCUGUGGAGUAGGAUUGAGGCCCCCUAAUCUCCCAGCUCAUUCUGCACAACUUUGGUUUUGCUCUGAUUUAAAAAUGAACAGAUUAAACUGAAGUAAAUAUUUCAAGCUGUUUUUAACAAAAAAAAGGUGUUAUUCAUCAUGCACAGUGCCCUCACUCAGAUGACAGACAGCAAUGAGCUUGGCUCUGCGGGGGCAGGCAGCUGGUGGCUGAGGGUGAGGCCAGCAUGACAUGGCUCUGAUUUACCCAAAAUGUUUAAUACUUGCCAUUUUUUUCUUAGUCUCAUUUAAUGUCU
rnacentral:lncRNA from 1 species